GAACCACAUUUUUCCUCCAUUGACCGCACUGUGUUGAGUGACUGAUUGUCUUUCAGCCAAUGCAGCUCUGACAGCAAUUCAAUGACGUCAGGGCUAUGCUGUGAUUGGUUACCAAGGCACACGUGAGCCAAGCGGAGCGCGGAGGUUGGUGUCUCCCCAUAUAAAGAACAGCUCUCUGAACUAGUCUGGAGAUUAGUUCAGUUCAUUUCGUACGACGGAGGGACAGAAGGUCAGAUUACUUGUUUUUCGUCUCACUUCUCCAUCAGCAGUUUAGAAUGGUAAGCCCGAGAGUGAUAAAAUUGAGGAAAAACUUGUUCAUCAUUAAAUCUGACGGACAAGUGAACUCUUGUUGUCGACUAAUUCAGGUAAAUGUAACCUAUCUGCUGACAAAAGUGUAUGUAUUAUUAAAUUUGACUUUUGAUUGUAUUUAUUUAUUUAAAAGAACUGGAACGUUAUUGUAAGUUUACGUUUUGUAUAUUUCGUAUGUAUGUAUUUUACUCUAACUUACUAAAGAAACGUGAGCACGUGGUGUCCUCCUGUGCACGUAUGCGGCAUGGCUUACCUCAUUCACCGUGAAAUUAUAUUCAAGAGUUUUUCAUAAAUCCUCAUGUUUAUUAAAUUAUAAUACAUCAGUGACAUUGUUUUUGUCCCUCUUUUAGGCUUAUUUGCUGUUGUAGUGGACUUUGUGGCCAGUGACUUUAGGGAGAGAAGGUGAAUUGGAAGAGGCGGAGGUUUGUAUGUUCAUUGUAAUGGCUGUGUGUAUUACAGAUGUACUUGUAUAACUUUAUACUGUACUGUGAUAUUUUAUGUGAAUGUAACAAAAAUGAUCAAUCCUGUUUGUGUCUGUAAACAAUAAACAAAAUAAACGUC